UUAAAGAAUCAAAUUUCUUAUUUAAGUUAGAAAUUUGGGCAGCCAUAGCCGUAAAUGAAUUAAUCUUAUAUACACCAACUUUCUUUGUUCUUUUCCUCCACCCCAAUUUUGAGAAUUGGCAGCCAGGUAUUGAAAAGUGCAGAUGCUUCAUCAACGGUCUUAGUCAUUAGAGGACCCCUACUAGUAUGACCUAUCAUUUACUUAUUGUCAGCAUUCAAACCUUGAUAGAAAAACUGAAGUUGUAACUAUUUUGGCAAACCGUGAUUUGGACAUUUUAAUAACAAGUCUCUAAAUCUCUCCAAACUCUCAUAAAAAGGCUCACCUUGGAA
rnacentral:lncRNA from 1 species